UUGUCAGAAUUGGUGUAUGAUUUGCAAGCCCAAGAACAAAGGAAACUUAUGAGGGAGGAAGGCACAAUUGAAUAUUUUUUACAAGCAAAACUGAAGUUCAAUCAAGUCACAAAGGAAAGAAGAAAAAGGCCCAAUGGAACAACUUUGCGAAAGGAAAAAGUUUCAAUAAAUGGAGUAGUAAAUCCGAAGAUGAGAUGGCAAAUAAUCCUCCACGCCAGCACUG
rnacentral:lncRNA from 1 species